rnacentral:rRNA from 1 species
AGUAAAAGUCGUAACAAGGUCUCCGUUGGUGAACCAGCGGAGGGAUCAUUACUGAGUUAUAAGCUCCAAACCCAUGUGAACUUACCAAUGUUGCCUCGGCGGGAAGCCUACCCUAUAGCUACCCUGUAGCGCCUACCCUAUAGCAGUUACCCUGUAACGACUACCCUGGAGGCGGGUGGCGAGCCGCCAGAGGACCACUAAACUCUUGUUAUUUUGUCACUCUGAGUAUUAAAACAAAUAAGUUAAAACCUUCAACAACGGAUCUCUUGGUUCUGGCAUCGAUGAAGAACGCAGCGAAAUGCGAUAAGUAAUGUGAAUUGCAGAAUUCAGUGAAUCAUCGAAUCUUUGAACGCACAUUGCGCCCAUUAGUAUUCUAGUGGGCAUGCCUGUUCGAGCGUCAUUACGACCCUCAAGCCUCAGUUGCUUGGUAUUGGGAGCUUACCCUGUAGUAACUCCUCAAAGUCAGUGGCAGAGCUGUGGAACACUCUAAGCGUAGUAAUUCUUCUCGCUUCUGUAGUGGCCUCGGCGAUCGCCAUAAGCUUACCGACAAAAAGGUUGACCCCGGAUCAGGUAGGAAUACCCGCUGAACUUAAGCAUAUCGAUAAGCGGAGGA